rnacentral:rRNA from 1 species
ACUCCUACGGGAGGCAGCAGUGGGGAAUAUUGCACAAUGGGCGCAAGCCUGAUGCAGCCAUGCCGCGUGUAUGAAGAAGGCCUUCGGGUUGUAAAGUACUUUCAGCAGUGAGGAAGGUGGAUGCGUUAAUAGCGUAUUCAUUUGACGUUAGCUGCAGAAGAAGCACCGGCUAACUCCGUGCCAGCAGCCGCGGUAAUACGGAGGGUGCGAGCGUUAAUCGGAAUUACUGGGCGUAAAGCGCAUGCAGGUGGUUUGUUAAGUCAGAUGUGAAAGCCCGGGGCUCAACCUCGGAAUUGCAUUUGAAACUGGCAGACUAGAGUACUGUAGAGGGGGGUAGAAUUUCAGGUGUAGCGGUGAAAUGCGUAGAGAUCUGAAGGAAUACCGGUGGCGAAGGCGGCCCCCUGGACAGAUACUGACACUCAGAUGCGAAAGCGUGGGGAGCAAACAGGAUUAGAUACCCUGGUAGGAUAGCC